GAUUCCGUAGUGUAGCGGUUAUCACGUUCGCUUUACACGCGAAAGGUCCCCGGUUCGAACCCGGGCGGAAUCA
rnacentral:tRNA from 2 species